UACGAAGGGGGCUAGCGUUGCUCGGAAUUACUGGGCGUAAAGGGAGCGUAGGCGGACAUUUAAGUCAGAGGUGAAAUCCCGGAGCUUAACUUCGGAACUGCCUUUGAUACUGGAUGUCUUGAGUGUGAGAGAGGUAUGUGGAACUCCGAGUGUAGAGGUGAAAUUCGUAGAUAUUCGGAAGAACACCAGUGGCGAAGGCGACAUACUGGCUCAUUACUGACGCUGAGGCUCGAAAGCGUGGGGAGCAAACAGGAUUAGAUACCCCCGUAGUCC
rnacentral:rRNA from 1 species